CCAGUAAUCUGUGGGUGGGACGAAAGCAAACAGAACCUUCCAGAAGACGGUGAGGAAGUGCAUGACGUAGUCGAAACAUGAUGGCAGCUUCUCCUCCCCGCACUCGUCAUCGUCAUCAUCUUCGCCUGCUUCACUUCGUAAACAUAAACAAGAGGAGAAGGUGAGGCUCUGGAG